AACAUCGCGCACCUGCGGGAACCUGCGGAGGGAUCAUUACACAAUACAAUAUGAAGGCUGUCCGCAGCUGGAGUAUUUUAUUACCCUUGUCUUUUGCGCACUUGUUGUUUCCUGGGCGGGUUCGCUCGCCACCAGGACCACCAAAUAAACCUUUUUUAUGCAGUUGCAAUCAGCGUCAGUACAAACAAUGUAAAUCAUUUACAACUUUUAACAACGGAUCU
rnacentral:misc_RNA from 1 species